rnacentral:rRNA from 1 species
AUGCUUAUUGAUAUUGCUAUUGAGUCUGUAAAGGGCUUGAUUUCUUUCUUCACUAAGUAUAGAGAAUCUGGCUUUCCAAAAGCAUUGGAAGCUGCAAAAGAAAUUGCAAAGGAGAUGGAUAUUAAUCCAGAGUUCCGCACCAAGCGUAAAAUCAAGAGAAAAAGGCAAAUUGGUGAGGGUGCAGAUGAUUCAUCUAUUGUUUCACAAUCAGCAGAGGAGUCAUUUAGGGUCAAUUAUUUUCUGCAUAUUGUUGAUCAAGCUAUAGUUUCACUUAACACGAGAUUUGAACAGUACGAGGGGUAUGAAAAAAUAUUUGGUUUCUUGUUUACUUCAGAUAGACUGCGAUCCUUGGAUGGCAAGAGUUUAUUGGCUGCGUGUGUUAAUCUUGAAGAUGCACUUAAGAGUGGAGAACAUAAAGAUAUUGACGGACUUGAAUUGUGUUCCGAGCUACUUUUUCUGCAGGGCUCACUUCAGAAAUCUAUGGGCCCACUUGAUAUUUUGAACUUUUUGAAGAAGCGUUCCUUAAUCUAUCCUAAUGCUGUUAUCGCAUACAGAAUUUUGUUAACCAUUCCUGUGACAGUUGCAUCUGCGGAAAGGAGCUUUUCUAAACUCAAGUUGUUGAAAUCCUACUUGCGUUCUACAAUGACACAAGAAAGACUGAAUGGAUUGGCAACAAUAGCACUUGAAAAUGAUGUCUUGGAGAAGAUUAAUUAUGAAGAUUUGAUCGAAGAUUUCAUAUCAAGAAAUACUAGAAGAAUGCUGCUUUUUGGUAGAAAAUGA